rnacentral:rRNA from 2 species
AGAGUUUGAUCAUGGCUCAGAUUGAACGCUGGCGGCAGGCCUAACACAUGCAAGUCGAGCGGUAGCACAGAGAGCUUGCUCUCGGGUGACGAGCGGCGGACGGGUGAGUAAUGUCUGGGAAACUGCCUGAUGGAGGGGGAUAACUACUGGAAACGGUAGCUAAUACCGCAUAAUGUCGCAAGACCAAAGUGGGGGACCUUCGGGCCUCAUGCCAUCAGAUGUGCCCAGAUGGGAUUAGCUAGUAGGUGGGGUAACGGCUCACCUAGGCGACGAUCCCUAGCUGGUCUGAGAGGAUGACCAGCCACACUGGAACUGAGACACGGUCCAGACUCCUACGGGAGGCAGCAGUGGGGAAUAUUGCACAAUGGGCGCAAGCCUGAUGCAGCCAUGCCGCGUGUGUGAAGAAGGCCUUCGGGUUGUAAAGCACUUUCAGCGGGGAGGAAGGCGAUAAGGUUAAUAACCUUGUCGAUUGACGUUACCCGCAGAAGAAGCACCGGCUAACUCCGUGCCAGCAGCCGCGGUAAUACGGAGGGUGCAAGCGUUAAUCGGAAUUACUGGGCGUAAAGCGCACGCAGGCGGUCUGUCAAGUCGGAUGUGAAAUCCCCGGGCUCAACCUGGGAACUGCAUUCGAAACUGGCAGGCUAGAGUCUUGUAGAGGGGGGUAGAAUUCCAGGUGUAGCGGUGAAAUGCGUAGAGAUCUGGAGGAAUACCGGUGGCGAAGGCGGCCCCCUGGACAAAGACUGACGCUCAGGUGCGAAAGCGUGGGGAGCAAACAGGAUUAGAUACCCUGGUAGUCCACGCCGUAAACGAUGUCGAUUUGGAGGUUGUGCCCUUGAGGCGUGGCUUCCGGAGCUAACGCGUUAAAUCGACCGCCUGGGGAGUACGGCCGCAAGGUUAAAACUCAAAUGAAUUGACGGGGGCCCGCACAAGCGGUGGAGCAUGUGGUUUAAUUCGAUGCAACGCGAAGAACCUUACCUGGUCUUGACAUCCACAGAACUUAGCAGAGAUGCUUUGGUGCCUUCGGGAACUGUGAGACAGGUGCUGCAUGGCUGUCGUCAGCUCGUGUUGUGAAAUGUUGGGUUAAGUCCCGCAACGAGCGCAACCCUUAUCCUUUGUUGCCAGCGGUUCGGCCGGGAACUCAAAGGAGACUGCCAGUGAUAAACUGGAGGAAGGUGGGGAUGACGUCAAGUCAUCAUGGCCCUUACGACCAGGGCUACACACGUGCUACAAUGGCAUAUACAAAGAGAAGCGACCUCGCGAGAGCAAGCGGACCUCAUAAAGUAUGUCGUAGUCCGGAUUGGAGUCUGCAACUCGACUCCAUGAAGUCGGAAUCGCUAGUAAUCGUAGAUCAGAAUGCUACGGUGAAUACGUUCCCGGGCCUUGUACACACCGCCCGUCACACCAUGGGAGUGGGUUGCAAAAGAAGUAGGUAGCUUAACCUUCGGGAGGGCGCUUACCACUUUGUGAUUCAUGACUGGGGUGAAGUCGUAACAAGGUAACCGUAGGGGAACCUGCGGUUGGAUCACCU